UGUAAGUCUAAAAUUUUUAUUAGAAAAAUAUAUUCCUAGGAUAAAAAAAAUAACUGCCUGCAAUUUGCUUAAUUUUAUCUGACAAAAACAAAAUUUCAUUUCCUAAACAUUCUAAGAGUUUGAGUGUUUUGAAAAAGGCUAACUUGUUCAACAAUAUCAUCAAAACUACUUAAAUUCAGUUAAUUUUGGGGAAAACAUUUAAUUUUGUACUGGAAUUUGAACAGUAGCUCGCUGCUGGGGAUUAGAGUAUGAUGAGUAUCUCUCCUUUCCGUCGAUACUCCCUUAGUACUGCAAUAUACACAGUCGACUGGAAGAAAUCCUCGACCUCAGCAUACAUGAAGCCAUAGCAAGAAGCAGUGAAAGCCACAGCAGAGAUUGGAUGGAGCAUAAUUUUUUCAUGUCUCGGCGCCUCUAUGGAUGUCAUAUUUAGAUCAGAUGCAAUCUGAGCCUUGUUCUGAAUUUCAAAAUCCCCUUUGACAACACCUGCACAGCUGAGGUAGUGUAAACUUAAAAAUUGAGGACAACCAAAGAAUCACCAAGAAAAGAUUAUCAAUUCAACUAACAUUGAUGAAUGAACCACAUGCAUUGUGUCAGAGGAAUCUAGCUGGAACACCUAUUUAGCAGCCAGGACACAUAGAUGUACCUGUACAGUUGAUACAGAUAAUCUCAACGGCACAUUUCUAAAUGAUGGCCAAAAAAAUCUAAUAAAGACACUGUCAGUUUAAAACUUUUUGAAAGAAAUCCAGACCAGAAACAAAGGAUAUUGAUUUUUAAGCUCCUCCAAAUGUAAAAGGGGUUUUAUUGAAGCCAAGACCUGGAUACACCCAAGGAUAUUUAAUAUUACACCCCUUUAACAUAAAAUUUUGAAUUUUAGUUUGCCUAUCUAGUCAAGAACAUGGAUUUUUUGACAUUUGAUACACUUUAUAAUGUUAUAUUGACAUUUUUUCAAGAUUUAUUUACUGUAAACUAUGUAUUUCAGCAAAAAGUAAAUUUACAGAUGAUUUUUCAAAAAUUGCUUU